CUACGGGGUGCACCAGUGGGGAAUAUUGGGCAAUGGGCGCAAGCCUGACCCAGCAACGCCGCGUGAGGGAAGAAGGUUUUCGGAUUGUAAACCUCUGUCCUUGGGGACGAAGAAGUGACGGUACCCAAGGAGGAAGCUCCGGCUAACUACGUGCCAGCAGCCGCGGGAAUACGUAGGGAGCAAGCGUUGUCCGGAAUUACUGGGCGUAAAGGGUGCGUAGGCGGCAUACUAAGUCAGGUGUGAAAUACUCGGGCUCAACCCGGGGGCUGCAUUUGAAACUGAUAUGCUUGAGUGUGAGAGAGGAAAGUGGAAUUCCUAGUGUAGCGGUGGAAUGCGUAGAUAUUAGGAGGAACACCAGUGGCGAAGGCGACUUUCUGGCUCAUAACUGACGCUGAGGCACGAAAGCGUGGGGAGCAAACAGGAUUAGAUACCCUUGUAGUC
rnacentral:rRNA from 1 species